rnacentral:rRNA from 1 species
AUACGUAGGUGGCAAGCGUUGUCCGGAUUUACUGGGUGUAAAGGGCGCGUAGGCGGGAUAGCAAGUCAGGAGUGAAAUGUAGGGGCUCAACCCCUAAACUGCUUUUGAAACUGUUAUUCUUGAGUAUCGGAGAGGCAGGCGGAAUUCCUAGUGUAGCGGUGAAAUGCGUAGAUAUUAGGAGGAACACCAGUGGCGAAGGCGGCCUUCUGGACGACAACUGACGCUGAGGCGCGAAAUCGUGGGGAGCAAACAGGAUUAGAUACCCUUGUAGUCCGCGCUGUAAACGUUGAAUACUAGGUGUGGGGGGACUGACCCCCUCCGUGCCGGAGUUAACACAAUAAGUAUUCCACCUGGGGAGUACGGCCGCAAGGUUGAAACUCAAAUGAAUUGACGGGG